UUGGAGAGUUUGAUUCUGGCUCAGGACGAACGCUGGCGGCGUGCUUAACACAUGCAAGUCGAACGGAAAGGCCCUUCGGGGUACUCGAGUGGCGAACGGGUGAGUAACACGUGGGUGAUCUGCCCUGCACUUUGGGAUAAGCCUGGGAAACUGGGUCUAAUACCGAAUACACCCUGCUGGUCGCAUGGCCUGGUGGGGGAAAGCUUUUGCGGUGUGGGAUGGGCCCGCGGCCUAUCAGCUUGUUGGUGAGGUUACGGCUCACCAAGGCGACGACGGGUAGCCGGCCUGAGAGGGUGACCGGCCACACUGGGACUGAGAUACGGCCCAGACUCCUACGGGAGGCAGCAGUGGGGAAUAUUGCACAAUGGGCGCAAGCCUGAUGCAGCGACGCCGCGUGGGGGAUGACGGCCUUCGGGUUGUAAACCUCUUUCAGUAGGGACGAAGCGCAAGUGACGGUACCUACAGAAGAAGGACCGGCCAACUACGUGCCAGCAGCCGCGGUAAUACGUAGGGUCCGAGCGUUGUCCGGAAUUACUGGGCGUAAAGAGCUCGUAGGUGGUUUGUCGCGUUGUUCGUGAAAACCGGGGGCUUAACCCUCGGCGUGCGGGCGAUACGGGCAGACUUGAGUACUGCAGGGGAGACUGGAAUUCCUGGUGUAGCGGUGGAAUGCGCAGAUAUCAGGAGGAACACCGGUGGCGAAGGCGGGUCUCUGGGCAGUAACUGACGCUGAGGAGCGAAAGCGUGGGGAGCGAACAGGAUUAGAUACCCUGGUAGUCCACGCCGUAAACGGUGGGUACUAGGUGUGGGUUUCCUUCCUUGGGAUCCGUGCCGUAGCUAACGCAUUAAGUACCCCGCCUGGGGAGUACGGCCGCAAGGCUAAAACUCAAAGAAAUUGACGGGGGCCCGCACAAGCGGCGGAGCAUGUGGAUUAAUUCGAUGCAACGCGAAGAACCUUACCUGGGUUUGACAUGCACAGGACGCUGGUAGAGAUAUCAGUUCCCUUGUGGCCUGUGUGCAGGUGGUGCAUGGCUGUCGUCAGCUCGUGUCGUGAGAUGUUGGGUUAAGUCCCGCAACGAGCGCAACCCUUGUCUCAUGUUGCCAGCACGUUAUGGUGGGGACUCGUGAGACUGCCGGGGUCAACUCGGAGGAAGGUGGGGAUGACGUCAAGUCAUCAUGCCCCUUAUGUCCAGGGCUUCACACAUGCUACAAUGGCCGGUACAAAGGGCUGCGAUGCCGUGAGGUGGAGCGAAUCCUUUCAAAGCCGGUCUCAGUUCGGAUCGGGGUCUGCAACUCGACCCCGUGAAGUCGGAGUCGCUAGUAAUCGCAGAUCAGCAACGCUGCGGUGAAUACGUUCCCGGGCCUUGUACACACCGCCCGUCACGUCAUGAAAGUCGGUAACACCCGAAGCCGGUGGCCUAACCCCUUGUGGGAGGGAGCCGUCGAAGGUGGGAUCGGCGAUUGGGACGAAGUCGUAACAAGGUAGCCGUACCGGAAGGUGCGGCUGGAUCACCUCCUUU
rnacentral:rRNA from 1 species